GGAUUGGCAGGGAAGAAUUUAGUCGGUUGUUUGCAUCAAGCAAUGGAGAGACACGGUCUAUAUAGGCGUGUCUCAGCCCUGGUAAGUUCCUUAGGGCGUGUUUGUUUGGGCAAACAUUCUAUAGCACGUAUGCGUUUGACACGCAGGAGUGCUAGUCUAUCCUCUUUUUUUUUUGGCUCAUAUGAGAAAUGUUUUGCUUCUGUUGAAACCUAGGGAAGCAAAACCUUUUACGUUCAAGCAAUACAAUAGUGAACAGUUUCAGAAAACCUUAUGAACUUUUCUCUCUCCUACUCUCCAUAAAUAGACCCGACGAUCCACCAUUCUACCUUGGCCGCAUCUUCACCCCAACUUUGUUGUCUGCAUCCGGUGGCUGCCUCCCACCCCAAUCUGAGCACUUGCAAUCAACCAGCUAGAUCUCUCUCUUUCUCUACUCACUCUCUCUUCAUGAUCUCUCUUCCUCCUCCUUGGUUUGCUUGGUGCAAAAGAUUCUCCACUCUCUCUCUCUCUCUUCUUCUUCUCGUUUUUUUAUUUCUCUAUCUUGUUUUUCUAUUUCUUUUGUUUGCAGGAGUGUCUCAUCAUUGUAUAUUCUUCCUUGCAGU
rnacentral:lncRNA from 1 species